GACGAACGCUGGCGGCGUGCUUAACACAUGCAAGUCGAACGAAGAGCGACGGAAGCUUGCUUCUAUCACUCUUAGUGGCGAACGGGUGAGUAACGCGUAAUCAACCUGCCCUUCAGAGGGGGACAACAGUUGGAAACGACUGCUAAUACCGCAUACGAUCUAAUCUCGGCAUCGAGGAUGGAUGAAAGGUGGCCUCUACAUGUAAGCUAUCACUGAAGGAGGGGAUUGCGUCUGAUUAGCUAGUUGGAGGGGUAACGGCCCACCAAGGCGAUGAUCAGUAGCCGGUCUGAGAGGAUGAACGGCCACAUUGGAACUGAGACACGGCCCAGACUCCUACGGGAGGCAGCAGUGGGGAAUCUUCCGCAAUGGACGAAAGUCUGACGGAGCAACGCCGCGUGAGUGAUGACGGCCUUCGGGUUGUAAAGCUCUGUUAAUCGGGACGAAAGGCCUUCUUGCGAAUAGUGAGAAGGAUUGACGGUACCGGAAGAGAAAGCCACGGCUAACUACGUG
rnacentral:rRNA from 1 species